AGAGUUUGAUCAUGGCUCAGGACAAACGCUGGCGGCGUGCCUAACACAUGCAAGUCGGACGGGCAGGCCUCUUCGGGGGCGUGCCAGUGGCGGACGGGUGAGUAACACGUGGAUAACCUACCCAGCGGUGGGGGAUACCCCUCAGAAAUGGGGGCUAAGACCGCCUACGGUGGCUCCGGGGAGGCUCGGAGGCAGGAAAG
rnacentral:rRNA from 1 species